rnacentral:rRNA from 2 species
GUUGACCUCGGAUCAGGUAGGAAUACCCGCUGAACUUAAGCAUAUCAAUAAGCGGAGGAAAAGAAACCAACAGGGAUUCCCCUAGUAACGGCGAGUGAAGCGGGAACAGCUCAAAUUUGAAAUCUGGCCCUUGGGUCCGAGUUGUAAUUUGCAGAGGAUGCUUUUGGUGCGGUGCCUUCCGAGUUCCCUGGAACGGGACGCCUUAGAGGGUGAGAGCCCCGUACGGUUGGACACCAAGCCUAUGUAAAGCUCCUUCGACGAGUCGAGUAGUUUGGGAAUGCUGCUCAAAAUGGGAGGUAUAUUUCUUCUAAAGCUAAAUAUUGGCCAGAGACCGAUAGCGCACAAGUAGAGUGAUCGAAAGAUGAAAAGCACUUUGAAAAGAGGGUUAAAUAGCACGUGAAAUUGUUGAAAGGGAAGGAUUUAUGACCAGACUUUUUCUAGGGGGAUCAUCCGGUGUUCUCACCGGUGCACUUCCCCUAGUUGAGGCCAGCAUCGGUUUCUGUCGGGGGAUAAAAGCUUUAGGAAUGUGGCUCCCUCCGGGGAGUGUUAUAGCCUGUUGCAUAAUACCCUGACGGGGACCGAGGUUCGCGCAUUGCAAGGAUGCUGGCGUAAUGGUUAUUAAUCACCCGUCUUGAAACACGGACCAAGGAGUCGAACAUUUGUGCGAGUGUUUGGGUGUUAAACCCUCACGCGUAAUGAAAGUGAACGGAGGUGAGAGCCUUUCGGGGUGCAUCAUCGACCGAUCCUGAUGUCUUCGGAUGGAUUUGAGUAAGAGCAUUAAUGUUCGGACCCGAAAGAUGGUGAACUAUGCGUGGAUAGGGUGAAGCCAGAGGAAACUCUGGUGGAGGCUCGCAGCGGUUCUGACGUGCAAAUCGAUCGUCAAAUCU